GAACCGCCCAAUUAACGGCACCGACCCGGGCAGCUGAAAUUUGAAACCUGGUGCUCUUCCCGCCGAGUUUUUAUUCGCAAAGGAUGCUCNUGGCGACGUGCNGGCCGAGUUCCCUGGAACGGGACCCCAUACACGGUGAGAGCCCCGUACGGUCUGGCGCCUAGCCGCUGUACAGCUCCUUCGACAAGUCAAUUAGUUCGGGAAGGCUAAUCUAAAUCGCACGUUAACUCCUUCUAAAGCUAAAUAUUGGCCAGAGACCGAUAGCGCACAAGUAGAGUGAUCGACAGAUGAAAAGCACUUUGAAAAGAAAGCUAAAUAUCACUUGAAGUUGAUGAAAGGGAAUCGCUUAUGACCAGACUUGGGCUUGGCACUUCAGCCGUCCUUUUGGGCGGAGCACUCUGCCCGGUCAGGCCACCAUCAGUUGUCCGCUGGGUAGAAAUUAACCCGGGAAUGUGGCCCCUCUGAGUCNUAUAGCCCGCUGCGUAAUGCCCUCUGGAAAACUGAGGCUAGCCGUCUUCACGGAUGCUGGCGUAUGGCUAUCAACGACCCGCCUUUCAACACAUCCCAAGGAGUCGGCCUAACAUGCCACUGUUUGGGCGAAAAACCCCUACACGAAAUGAAAGUUAACGGAAGCAAGAGCUUGGGGCGUGCACCGAAUCCCUCGAUGUUCUCGGACGGGAUUGAGUAAAAGCAUAAACGGGCCGACCCGAAAGAACGUGAACUAUGCUCGAAAAGGGCAAAGCCAAAGGAAACUCC
rnacentral:rRNA from 1 species